CAUGGGUGUAUUAGGUUCCCACUCGUACCAACAUUCACCCGCCAUUACGGCGUGGCUGUGUGUAAAUGUUACGAGCGUACAGGUCGUAAUGGAGACCAUGAAAAGAAGAUUAGCUGGAGCUGUUACAGCAGACCGUCUGGGGACUGCCAUCAUGAGACUGUGGGGACCAGUGCUUGUUGUGUGAGCUGGCACCCCUCUGGCUUUCUGUAGCUGUCCACAUGAUUGACAUUAAUGGUCUAGUUUUCGGAAAGAAUGGUGAAUUUGUGUUCUCUCUUUUGAGAAAAUGACAUUCAUCACUUUAUAUGGACAUGCAUCUAUAGGUGAUCAGAACAAUAGCACAUGGCAACCCCCUUGACACAUCAUUAGUGACAUCAAACAGAUGCUUGUUAUCUGUGCUGCUAAUUUCAUUAGCUUCUCCAGCUAACCACAACAGUCUGGUAAAGGCCUGUGUUGCAAGUAAGGAAGAGGUGCAAACACUUGAGAGGUUUUUGGUUUCCUUGUUUGAUAUACAGUAUGGUGCUCAUAUGCCUUUUUUCUCUACUAUAUACGUAUGUUAAUUUGUGUAUUUUAAAGCAUCUGAAAUAAGCUACAACAUCAGCCUUCAUGGGGAUUAACGCAUGCAAUAUCAUGUCCUGCAAAAAACUCAAUGAUAUGGCAAUACUGACACACAUUAUAAGGGGUAGGAUGUCUUUAAAAUUGAACAGGAAUUGCACACCUGGUACAGAUCAGAAGAAAAGUGUGUGUAAGCUCCUCAAGUAGACUAUUCCCAAUCUAAGCAAUGUAAAUCCCAGUGGUCUAAUGGGAGAAUGGGGUUAAUUAAUCCCAGAGGACAUCUAUUGAGGAGAGGGGCUGCUCAGCCCUCUAGAUCUUACCCCCAUAAAGGUCAUACUUCACAAUAAGACUGCAUGUGUUGCCCCUCUGAGUACUUCUCAUCCUCUCCCUCAAACAUCUAAUUUGAUCGCCUUCCUUCAAUCAGCAUAACAAUAUUGCCUGGGAACAAACCCUGGAACACA